rnacentral:tRNA from 3 species
UGGGAGGUCGUCUAACGGUAGGACUGCGGACUCUGAAUCCGCCUAUCGGGGUUCGAAUCCCUGCCUCCCAGCCA